rnacentral:rRNA from 1 species
AAUCAACGCUGGCGGCGUGCCUCAGACAUGCAAGUCGAACGAUUAAAGCUCUCUUCGGAGAGUGCAUAGAGUGGCGCACGGGUGAGUAACACGUAAGUAAUCUACCUUUGAGUGGGGAAUAACACCGAGAAAUCGGUGCUAAUACCGCAUAAUGCAGCGGCAUCGCAAGAUGACAGUUGUUAAAGAUUUAUCGCUUGAAGAGGAGCUGCGGCAGAUUAGCUAGUUGGUAAGGUAAUGGCUUACCAAGGCUACGAUCUGUAACCGGUCUAAGAGGACGGUCGGUCACACUGACACUGAAUAAC